rnacentral:rRNA from 1 species
UACCAGCAGCCCCGAGUGGUCGGGACGAUUAUUGGGCCUAAAGCAUCCGUAGCCGGUUCGUGCAAGUCCCCGUUAAAUCCAGCUGCCUCAACAGAUGGGGCCGCGGAGGAUACUACAGAGCUAGGAGGCAGGAGAGGCAAGCGGUACUCAGUGGGUAGGGGUAAAAUCCGUUGAUCCAUUGAAGAACCACCGGUGGCGAAGGCGGCGUGCCGUAGUCGCACUGACGUGACG